rnacentral:rRNA from 1 species
AACGAACGCUGGCGGCAUGCCUAACACAUGCAAGUCGAACGAGACCUUCGGGUCUAGUGGCGCACGGGUGCGUAACGCGUGGGAACCUGCCCUUAGGUUCGGAAUAACUCCCCGAAAGGGGUGCUAAUACCGGAUAAUGUCUUCGGACCAAAGAUUUAUCGCCUUUGGAUGGGCCCGCGUUGGAUUAGCUAGUUGGUAGGGUAAAAGCCUACCAAGGCGACGAUCCAUAGCUGGUCUGAGAGGAUGAUCAGCCACACUGGGACUGAGACACGGCCCAGACUCCUACGGGAGGCAGCAGUGGGGAAUAUUGGACAAGGGGCGAAGGCCUGAUCCAGCAAUGCCGCGUGAGUGAUGAAGGCCUUAGGGUUGUAAAGCUCUUUUACCCGGGAUGAUAAUGACAGUACCGGGAGAAUAAGCCCCGGCUAACUCCGUG